AUACGGAGGGUGCAAGCGUUACUCGGAAUCACUGGGCGUAAAGCGCGCGCAGGCGGGCUGAUAAGUUGGAUGUGAAAGCCUACGGCUCAACCGUAGAACUGCAUCCAAAACUGUCAGUCUAGAGUCUGGGAGGGGAAGAUGGAAUUAGUUGUGUAGGGGUAAAAUCCGUAGAGAUAACUAGGAAUACCAAAAGCGAAGGCGAUCUUCUGGAACAGUACUGACGCUGAGGCGCGAAAGCGUGGGGAGCAAACAGGAUUAGAAACCCGGGUAGUCC
rnacentral:rRNA from 1 species